rnacentral:rRNA from 1 species
CAGCCGCCGCGGGAAUACAGAGGGUGCAAGCGUUAAUCGGAUUUACUGGGCGUAAAGGGCGCGUAGGUGGUUAUGUAAGUGAGAUGUGAAAUCCCCGGGCUCAACCUGGGAACUGCAUCUUAUACUGCGUAGCUGGAGUGCAGUAGAGGGUAGUGGAAUUUCCGGUGUAGCGGCGAAAUGCGUAGAUAUCGGAAGGAACGCCAGUGGCGAAGGCGGCUACCUGGACUGACACUGACACUGAGGCGCGAAAGCGUGGGGAGCAAACAGGAUUAGAUACCCCGGUAGUCCCUGUCUCUUAUAC